UACGUAGGUGGCAAGCGUUGUCCGGAUUUACUGGGCGUAAAGAGCGCGCAGGCGGUCGUUCAAGUCGCGUGUGAAAGCCCCCCGGCUCAACUGGGGAGGGUCACGCGAUACUGAUCGACUCGAAGGCAGGAGAGGGUAGUGGAAUUCCCGGUGUAGUGGUGAAAUGCGUAGAUAUCUGGAGGAACACCGGUGGCGAAGGCGGCAUCCUGGACCAAUAUUGACGCUGAGGAGCGAAAGCUAGGGGAGCAAACGGG
rnacentral:rRNA from 1 species